GAUGAAGAACGUAGCGAAAUGCGAUAAGUAAUGUGAAUUGCAGAAUUCAGUGAAUCAUCGAGUUUUUGAACGCACAUUGCGCCCCCUGGUAUUCCGGGGGGCAUGCCUGUCCGAGCGUCAUUGCCGCCCUCAAGCACGGCUUGUGUGUUGGGCCCCCGCCCCCCGGCUUCGGGGGGCGGGCCCGAAAGGCAGCGGCGGCACCGCGUCCGGUCCUCGAGCGUAUGGGGCUUCGUCACCCGCUCUGUAGGCCCGGCCGGCGCCCGCCGGCGACCCCAAUCAAUCUUUCCAGGUUGACCUCGGAUCAGGUAGGGAUACCCGCUGAACUUAAGCAUAUCAAUAAGCGGAGGA
rnacentral:misc_RNA from 1 species